rnacentral:rRNA from 1 species
GGUGAACGCUGGCGGCGUGCCUAAGACAUGCAAGUCGAACGGCAGUCUUCGGACUGUAGUGGCGCACGGGUGAGUAACGCGUAACUGACCUACCCCAAAGUCGCGGAUAACGAUUCGAAAGAAUCGCUAAUACGUGCUGUGCUGUCAGAUUGUGUUCUUCCAGUAAAGAUUGAUUGCUUUGGGAUGGGGUUGCGUUCCAUCAGCUAGUUGGUGGGGUAAAGGCCCACCAAGGCGACGACGGAUAGCCGGCCUGGGAGGGUGGCCGGCCACAGGGGCACUGAGACACGGGUCCCACUCCUACGGGAGGCAGCAGUUAGGAAUCUUCCACAAUGGGCGAAAGCCUGAUGGAGCGACGCCGUGUGAGGGAUGAAGGUCUUCGGAUCGUAAACCUCUGAAUCAGGGACGAAAGACACUUCGGUGGGAUGACGGUACCUGAGUAAUAGCACCGGCUAACUCCGUGCCAGCCGCCGCGGUAACAC